CCCAUAAGCCGUCAGAGGGGGAGGUUGCGUCUCGGUUGUGGCAGUCUCGCUCGUGUGAGUUUCGGUUCCAUCCUUGGCGUCGCGCACCCCAAGACCUCACAGUGCCCUACAUUAUACAUCUCACUCGCUUCUCUUUCACUUUGUCCUCGUGCGUUCCUCGAGUAAUAUCUACGCACGAAGCAAUAUCUGAACAAAACGUGACAAAAAAUCCAUAACAACGGAGCCUGACUUUUCUAAUAUUCCUUGUCGCUGGAGAGGACAAAAGGAAGGAUGAAAAGGAAAACUAGUGAAAGAUAACUGAUUGUACGUGAUACGAACUAAAGGAAACGGUAAAAACAGUGAAAGUGAAUAAACUACUGGACAUAUUAAAAAAAAUGAAAGACGAAAGAUAGAUAAAACUGAAGGAAGAGGAAAGGACGAAGAGAACAAGAAGAAACAAGAAACAGUUAUAGAAUCAGUGAACUCGGAAUAAAAGAGGAGAUGAAAGAGAGAGAGACGAACGGUGAGGGACUGUGAAAAGCUUGCAACUGAAAGACAAGGAUUUAGGGAAAGAAAAAAUAAAAAAUAAAAAAAAUAAAGGUACAUUGUAAAAAAAAAACGAGGUUGUGGUGAACAGUAUGUAAAAAUAAAGAGCAAGAGAGAGAGAGAGAGAGAGAGAGAGAGAGAGAGAGAGAGAGAGAGAGAGAGAGAGAGAGAGAGAGAGAGAGAGAGAGAGAGAGAGAGAGAGAGAGAGAGAGAGAGAGAGAAAAGAAAAAAAAAGAAAAAAAAAAAGACAAACAACGGGCGAACCAAAGUGAAGCAAAAAAAAAAAAAAGGAACAGAAAGGAGAAUGAAAGUUUUGAUAGAAAAAAAAGAAGAGAACUGUUAACAAAGCGGAAAAAAAAGUGGAAGUGAAAAGUGGGACGCGGAAACUAGAACAAACAACCGGUGAAAGGACAAAAGUAAAGAGUAAAAAUAAGAGAAAAGGAAACGAGAAAAGGAAAAGAACGAGUGAAACAAAAUAAAACGCAUUUACUAAGAAGCACGAGAACAAGAGCAAACAGGAAAAGGAAAAGAAGGAGAAGAAGAAGGAAGGAGAUAAAACUCGAAAGAGAGAGAGAGAGAGAAGCAAAGUUAGUGAAAGGGGGAGUGAUAGCAGUGGAGAGGAGUGGUAGAAGUGGUGGAGGAAGAGGUGGACGAGGAAGAAGAGGAAGAAGAAGAGGAGAAGGGGCAACAGCAGCAACAGGAUGGAUCAGGGAGGAUCAGGCGCAGAAGAACCCGACAAGAAACGCAUUCGGGAACUCAAGCUGAAGAAAGUGUAUCGCUGGUAUCCGUGGCUCGAAAAAUACCGCUUCUUUGUGCUCGA